rfam:Tupaia chinensis contig116408, whole genome shotgun sequence.
UGUGCAGCUUCCUUUACAUCGGCCUGUGUGGCUGAGGUCAGUCCCUUGCUGGCACUGUGGCUUUUGUCUGCAUCUGAGCAACUGGGUG